GGGCCUAUAGUUUAGUGGUAAAACACCGCAUUCGCAUUGCGGAGACGGGAGUUCGAUUCUCCCUAGGUCCACCA
rnacentral:tRNA from 1 species